GGGUAUACUCAGUACUUUGAUUGCUGGAUCUAUGGUAGUUUUGUUUUUAAUGUUUUGAGAAAUCUCCAUAGUGUUUUCCAUAAUGAACACACUAAUUGAAAAUCCCACCAAUGGUGUGUAAGUGUUCCUCUUCUCCACAUCAACAAUUGUUAUCUUUUGUCUUUUUGAUAAUAGCAAUUUUAACUUGAGUAAUGUUUUAUCUCAUUGUAGUUUUGAUUUGCAUUUCCCUGAUGACUAGUGAUACUGAACAGAUUUUUAUAUAUCUGUUGUUCAUUUGUAUGUUUUCUUUUAAGAAAUGUAUAUAAGGUCUAUCAUCCUGGCCAGGCACGGUGGCUCAUGCCUGUAAUCCCAGCACUUUGGGAGGCUGGAUGGAUCACCUGAGGUCAGGAGUUAGAGACCAGCCUGGCCAACCUGGUGAAACCCCGUCUCUACUAAAAAUAUAAAAAUUAGCUGGGUGUGGUGGAUGGUGUCUGUAAUCCCAGCUACUCGGGAGGCUGAGGCAGGAGAAUCACUUGAACCCAGGAAGCUGAGGUUGUAGUGAGCCAAGAUUGCGCCAUUGCACUGCAGUCUGGGCGACAGAGCGAGACUCUGCCUCAAAAAAAAAAAAAAAAAAAAAAGUCUAUCUUCCCUUUUGUGAUUGGAUUAUUUGGGUUUUUUCACUCUUGAGUUGUUUGAGUUCCUUAUAUCCUGGAUAUGAAUACCUAGUCAGAUGUAUAGUUUGCAAAUAUUUUCUCCCAUUCUGUAAGUUACCUCUUCACUCUGUUAAUUAUUUCCUUUGUUGUGCAAAAGCUUUUCAGUUUGAUAUAAUCACACUUGUCUGUUUCUGCUUUUAUUGUCUGUGGUUUUGAAAUCACAUAAAAAAAAAUUAUUGCCCAGUCCAAUGUCCUGAAGCAUUUUUCCUAUGUUUUCUUCUAGUAGCUUUAUAGUUUCAGGUUUUACAUUUUAGCCUUUAAUUCAUCAAGAGUUUAUUUUUAUAUAUGGUGAGAGAUAGGGGUUAGUUCAUUCUUCUGCAUAUUGAUACUAGCAAAUGCAGCACUAUUUUUUGAAGAGACUCUUUUCUCUAAUAUAUAUUCUUGGCACCUUUCUCAAAAGUGAGCUGACUGUAAAUAUGUGGAUUUAUAUCUGGGUUUUGUAUUCUGUCUCAUUCUUCUGUGUGUCUGCUUUUAUGCUAGUACCACGCUGUCUUGGCUAGCAUGCUUUUGUAGUGUAUUUUGAAGCUCCAUAGUGUGAUACUUCCAGCUUUGUUCUUUUAUUCAGUAAUGUUUUGGCUGUUUGGAGUCUUUUGUGGCUCCAUAUGAAUUUUAGGAUUUUGGUUUUUAUUUCUUUAAAGAAUGUCAUUGGUAUUUUGAUAAGGAUUGCAUUGACUCUGUAGAUCACUUUGGGUAGUGUGGUCAUUUUACCAAUCUUAAUUCUCUUACAUCAGGAACAUGGGGUAUCUUUUCAUUUGUUUGUGUUCCCUUCAUUCUUAUUGAAAAGCUUUCAACUUUUCCCCAUUCUGUAUGAUGUUAGCUGUGAGUUUGUCAUAUGUGACCUUGAUUGUGUUGAGGUACAUUUCUUCUACAUCUAAACUGUUGAGAGUUUAUAUCAUGCAGGAUGUUGAAUUUCAUCAAAUAUUUUUUAAUGUCUAUUGAGAUGAUCAUAUACUUUUUGGUCUUCAUUCUGUUGAUGUGAUAUAUCAAAUUUAUUGAUUUCCAUAUGUUGAACCAUCCUUGCAUCCCUAGAAUCAAUCCCACUUAAUCAUGGUGUAUAUUCUUUUUGAUAUGCUAUUGGAUUUGGAUUGCUAGUAUUUUGUUGAGAAUUUUUGCAUCUAUGUUCAUAAUGAAUAUUGGCCUGUAGCAUUCUCCUUUUUGUUGUAUUCUUUUCUGAUUUUGGCAUCAGGAUAAUACUG
rnacentral:lncRNA from 10 species